rnacentral:rRNA from 1 species
AGAGUUUGAUCCUGGCUCAGAAUGAACGUUGGCGGCGUGGAUUAGGCAUGCAAGUCGUACGGGCCGCAAGGCCAGUGGCGCAAGGGUGAGUAAGGCGACGGUAACCAACCCCAUGACUGGGUAUAGCCGCGGGAAACUGCGGGUAAUUCCCAGCGACGUCCCGGGGGGGCAUCCCCUGGGGACCAAAGCUCCGGCGUCGUGGGACGGGCCGUCGUGGUAUUAGGUUGUUGGCGGGGUAAUGGCCCACCAAGCCUGCGAUGCCUACCGGGCGUGCGAGCGCGACCCGGCACACUGGGACUGAGACACUGCCCAGACUCCUACGGGAGGCUGCAGUCGAGAAUCUUCGGCAAUGGGCGCAAGCCUGACCGAGCGACGCCGCGUGGAGGAUGAAGGCCUUCGGGUUGUAAACUCCUGUCGAGGGGAAAGAAGGCCGGGUAACCGGCUUGACU